rnacentral:rRNA from 1 species
AAAUUUAAUGUAGUAAAAUUAUUUUAAAUAAUUAUUUUGAAAUGAAAUGUUAGUCGUUUUUAAAUAUAUCUAGUUUUUUUAGAAAAAAAUUUAAUUUUAAAUUGAUUAUUCAAUAAACUUAAUUAAUAAUUUUUAUUGGGGGGUAAAUUUUAUAUUUUAAGGGAUAAGCUUUAAAAAUUAAAUUUUUAUAAUAAAAAUAUUUAUAUUGAGAAUUUUAUAAUUUAUAUUGUUAAUAAAUUUUAUUUUAUUAUAAAUAAUUUCAUAAAAAUUAAAAUUUAAAAUAAUUAUUUAAUUUUUUAUAAAAAAAUGAAUUUUAAUAAUAAAAAUUCAAUUAUAAUGAUAAAAUUAGUAUAUAAAAAGUAUAGGUAAAUAUAAAUUUAUUAAUAAAUUAAUUAAAAGGAAUUCGGCAAAAUUUUAUUUUUACUUGUUUAUCAAAAACAUGUCUUUUUGUAGUUUAUUUAAAGUCUAAUCUGCCCACUGAUUUAAUUAAAGGGCUGCAGUAUUUUGACUGUACAAAGGUAGCAUAAUCAUUAGUCUCUUAAUUGGUGACUUGUAUGAAAGAUUGGAUAAAAAAUAUACUGUCUCUUAAUUAUUAUAUAGAAUUUAAUUUUUUAUUUAAAAAGAUAAAAUGAAUUAAAAAGACGAGAAGACCCUAUAGAGUUUUAUAAAUAUUUUUGUAAAUAAUUAUAUAUUUUAAAAUAAUUAAAAUGUUUAUAAAUUUAUUUAUUUUAUUGGGGUGAUAGAAAAAUAAAUUAAACUUUUUUUAAAAUAUAAACAAAAAUAAUUGAUUUUUUGAUCCAAUUUUAUUGAUUAUAAGAUUAAAUUACCUUAGGGAUAACAGCGUAAUUAUUUUUUUUAGUUCUAAUAAGAAAAAUAGUUUGCGACCUCGAUGUUGGAUUAAGAUAAAAUUUAAA